rnacentral:rRNA from 1 species
UACAGAGGUCCCAAGCGUUGUUCGGAUUCACUGGGCGUAAAGGGUGCGUAGGCGGUCGGGUAAGUCUGAUGUAAAAUCUCACAGCUUAACUGUGAAACUGCAUUGGAUACUAUCCGGCUCGAGGAAUGGAGGGGAGACUGGAAUACUUGGUGUAGCAGUGAAAUUCGUAGAUAUUCGGAAGAACACCAGUGGCGAAGGCGGCUCACUGGCCCGUUACCGACGCUCAGGCGCGACAGCGUGGGGAGCAAACAGG